rnacentral:rRNA from 1 species
UUAAAACUCAAAUGAAUUGACGGGGGCCCGCACAAGCGGUGGAGCAUGUGGUUUAAUUCGAUGCAACGCGAAGAACCUUACCUACUCUUGACAUCCAGAGAACUUUCCAGAGAUGGAUUGGUGCCUUCGGGAACUCUGAGACAGGUGCUGCAUGGCUGUCGUCAGCUCGUGUUGUGAAAUGUUGGGUUAAGUCCCGCAACGAGCGCAACCCUUAUCCUU